rnacentral:lncRNA from 1 species
UUUCAUAUUUUUUGGAGUUAAAAUUAAUUUGUUAUGAAUUUUUAAAGAUUAAACAAUUUAUUUAAUCAUUUAAAUAAUUUUGAAAAACAUUUAGUAAAGAUGACAUGUGUCAGCGCCUAGUUGUGCCAUGUGGUAGCACGAGAGUGCGCCACAUGUCUGCUGAUGUCAGUGUUGACCGGUCAAUGGCCACCAGCACGCGUGCGUGUACAGCGGAGGAAGAAGAAGAACGGGGACGGCUGACGGGUGGGCCCAACGCGUUGGCGAGAGAAAAGGGGUGAGGGGCACGGCGUUGGUUAGGGCGGGCCAACAGGGCCGGCGACGUGGCCUGCUGUGUUGAAAGCAGUGUGGGUUAAGGUGAGGCGGGCCAAGCCGGGUCGAAGGCGGGUGAGGGUGAAGCGGGCCAAGCCGGUGGGCUGCGGCCGGCCUGGUAAGUUGGGUGGGUUAGAUACAUUUUUUUUAUUUAGAUUUAGGUUUAGAUUUAUAUUUAGUUUGACUUUUGAAUUAUAUUCAAAAUUCAAACACACACUCAAACUUAAGAUCCAAAUAAAAGUCCAAGAAGAUCCAAAUCAAUCCACACAAGUUUUCAAAAGAUUUGUGAUUUAAUUCUUAGGGAUUUAGAUGAGAUGAGAAUGUGACUUUUAUUUUUAAACGAGCACACAAUUCAAACAAAAAGUUUUAAAUUUUUGGAAAGUUCACUCAAAUUAAUAUUACAAAUUUUU